UACGUAUGAGACUUGCGCUUGCGCACGUGUAACGGAGACGCAACCCCAUUAUCCACAUCAUAAUAAUGCACCCAUUAAAUUGAUGAAAGUUAUUCAAUAUAUUUAUAUACGAGCAAGGUCGAAUGCAUUUCAGUAUUUCAAAACGUUACGUAGCUCCACUUUCGUAUAUUCUUGGUAAUUUAUUUUUAGUUCUACGCAAGUAGAAUAAGGACUUGGUUGGAAGGACUUAAAAUUAAUCAGUCGGAACUCAAUCCCUCCGGCUGCUCUACUGUGAGUUGGUGCAUAUAAUUUUUAAUGUGAGUACCGAUCGCUAUUAGGAGACCCACAAGGACAGUCUCCCAGACUGAAAAUAAUAAUGAUUAUUACUAUUAUUAAUUCCGAGUGGGUUCAAGCCUGUAACUCCUGCAAUCGCUGGUCUGUGGACACCAACACGGAAUGUGCAUCACAACACAAGAGCGGUCAUCUGCAUGUUAAAUAAAGUAUUACAGAGUAAAUUAAGAGAUUCGUUCGUAUUAUUGAAAUUACUUGAAAAUUGCUUACAUAUACCUAAGGGAAGACUGUUUUCGCACGAUUAUUCUAUGAAGCCUAGUCGAAAGCGAGCCAACACUCGACACACCUGAAACAAGUAUUUGUACAUGUACAAAUAUCCAUCUCAAGCGAGAAUCGAACACACGCGCCCCUACACCAAAACUAUCUGUUCCUAUUUUAAAGAAAAUAAAGUAGGUCUUCUUAAAAUGAGAUCCCUAUA